UGGGGAAUCUUGCACAAUGGGGGAAACCCUGAUGCAGCGACGCCGCGUGAGCGAUGAAGCCCUUCGGGGUGUAAAGCUCUUUCGGCAGGAACGAUAAUGACGGUACCUGCAGAAGAAGCUGCGGCUAACUACGUGCCAGCAGCCGCGGUAAUACGUAGGCAGCAAGCGUUGUUCGGAGUUACUGGGCGUAAAGAGUGUGUAGGCGGUUUGCCAAGUUCGGUGUGAAAUCUCCCGGCUUAACUGGGAGGGUGCGCCGAAAACUGGCAGGCUAGAGUGCGGGAGAGGAGAGCGGAAUUCCUGGUGUAGCGGUGAAAUGCGUAGAUAUCAGGAGGAACACCUGCGGUGUAGACGGCUCUCUGGACCGUUUCUGACGCUGAGACACGAAAGCGUGGGUAGCAAACA
rnacentral:rRNA from 1 species